CGCUCUCUGUUUAUUUGUCUUAUUUUGUGUGUUUUCUGUGUCCUCUGCUGCCCAUCCCGGAUCACUUUUACCAGAGAAGCUCUGUUAAACAUCGGACAGACUUCUUCUGGUACUUUCUCUCCUGUUCUCUCCGAUUCAGACUGUUUGUCGGAGAUUCUAGCCGGAGCGGCGGUGCUGUACAAGCUAGCGUACAAGCUAGCGCGACGACGGCGGCGCGGUAAGCGAGCCGGCGCACUCGUAAGGCUGAGGCAGAAAGGGUUCCGUUCUGCCCUACCGUCAAUUCAUCUGGCGAAUGUCCGCUCCCUGGCGAACAAGAUGGAUGAACUGCUGCUCCUCACUUCAAGGAACACGGACUUCAGCGGAUCCGCCGCGCUGUGCUUUGUGGAAACGUGGCUUAGCGAACGAACCCCCCACCACGCCGUGGAGCUAGCCGGGUUCAAGCUAAUGCGAGCAGAUCGCAGCGCGGAGCUCUCCGGAAAAUCAAAGGGAGGUGGUGUCUGUUUCUACAUUAAUGAACGUUGGUGUACUGAAGUCACGGUGUUGAAAGAGUUUUGCAGCCCUCUCCUAGAAACACUUUUCAUAAACUGCCGGCUGUUCUAUUCACCACGGGAGUUCUCCUCGAUUGUCAUGGCGGCUGUUUACAUUCCACCACACGCACGUCCGAGUGAAGCCACGCAGAUGCUGGCUGACCAGGUGAUCUUAACAGGGCGAACCUCGCACACGAACUCCCCAGAUACAGACAGCACGUAACGUGUCCCACCAGAGGGGCACAGACUCUGGACCACUGCUACACCGUGAUCAAGGAUGCAUACCACUCUGCGGCUCGUGCAGCUUUAGGACUAUCGGACCACUGUCUAAUUCAUCUGAUCCCGGCCUACAGGCAGAAACUAAAAACUUCUAAGCCUGUGGUGAGGACUGUGAGGAAGUGGACAGUGGAGUCAAGGCAGGACCUCCAAGCCUGCUUUGACUGCACCGAUUGGGGAGCUUUCGAAGCUGCAACUUCAGACUUGCAUGAACUCACUGACACUGUCACAUCAUACAUCAGUUUUUGUGAGGAUCUGUGUGUGCAGACUAAGACCUUCUGCACGUACAACAACGACAAACCUUGGUUUACACCGAACCUCAGGAGGCUGCGCAAAGUCAAGGAGGAGGCCUACAGGAGUGGCGACCGCGAGCUGUUCAGGCAGACCAGAAACACGCUGAACCAAGAGGUCAGGAAAGCCAGGAGGUGUUACGGGGAGAACCUGAAGAGACACCUCUCUGCCAAUCCUGAUCCCUCAACGGUGUGGAAAGGUCUGCAGAGCAUCACGGGCUACAAGAAACGAACCACCCGUCCUGUAGAGAGCCCAAGACUUGCUAACCAGCUAAACAAGUUCUACUGCAGAGGCCGCGCCCGCACUCCAGGUCCGCGAGGAGGAAGUGCGCCAGAUGUUCCGGAGACAAAAGACCAGGAAGGCACCGGGCCCAGACGGCGUGUCACCUUCCUGCUUGAAAGUCUGCGCUGAGCAGCUGGCGCCCACCUUUGCACGGAUCUUCAACCGUUCUCUGGAGCUGGGUGAGGUGCCCUCGUGCUUCAAGAGCUCCACCAUCGUUCCAGUAGCCAAGAAGCCCGCCAUCACAGGUCUGAAUGACUAUAGACCCGUCGCACUGACAUCUGUGGUCAUGAAAUCGUUCGAGAGGCUAGUGCUGAACCACCUGAAGGAGGUCUCAG